rnacentral:tRNA from 1 species
CGAUCAUUAGUUUAAUGGGUUGAAAAAACAUCGUCUAUUAAAGGCGAAAAGAUAUCGGUUCGAGUCCGGUAUGAUCGU